rnacentral:rRNA from 1 species
UACGAAGGGGGCUAGCGUUGUUCGGAUUUACUGGGCGUAAAGCGCACGUAGGCGGAUCGUUAAGUCGGGGGUGAAAUCCUGUAGCUCAACUCCAGAACUGCCUUCGAUACUGGCGAUCUUGAGUCCGGAAGAGGUGAGUGGAACUCCUAGUGUAGAGGUGGAAUUCGUAGAUAUUAGGAAGAACACCAGUGGCGAAGGCGGCUCACUGGUCCGGUACUGACGCUGAGGUGCGAAAGCGUGGGGAGCAAACAGG